rnacentral:lncRNA from 1 species
UUCAUCUCCAGUCUCCAAGCAGCUGCUGCUGGGCGAUAAACUGCAGUGACCAGCAGAGGUCCCCCGCAGCUUGCUGCUGUCAGUGCAGCCAGCGGCUGGAGAGUGGCAGGUGGAGCUGGGGAACAUUCCUGCAGCAUGUGCGCGAAAUCAGACAUAUUAUUAUUAAGGCCAUAGAACCCUGGAUGCAUUAAGUUAAUCAGCUUGUCCUGCACUGAUGGAUUUCUUCACUUCAUCUUUGAAAUGUAAUUCCUCAUUUCCGCUCCAAAAAGUCCAUCACAAAUGUCUUCUACAGCUUUCUGCUAUGUCUCCAGUUUUAGGAUAUUUCAGAAGAGGGAAAAUAAGCACCGGAGAGUUCAUAAUUUCAUUGCUUUUUCAGCCAUCCCCUCUCUUUUGUGAAAGGAACAGCACUUGAGGACCACUGCUGAUGGCAUGUGUGACAAUGUACAAGGAGGGGAUGUGUUAUGUGCCCAGAGAGCUAGCGGGACCUAACAUGACAUUAAUGGCCUUGGAGCAGUUUUUUUGAAGAGUGGACUCCUAC